rnacentral:rRNA from 1 species
AACGGAAAGGCCCUGCUUGCAGGGUACUCGAGUGGCGAACGGGUGAGUAACACGUGGGUGAUCUGCCCUGCACUUCGGGAUAAGCUUGGGAAACUGGGUCUAAUACCGGAUAGGAGCCAUCUUUAGUGUGGUGGUUGGAAAGUUUUUUCGGUGUAGGAUGAGCUCGCGGCCUAUCAGCUUGUUGGUGGGGUAAUGGCCUACCAAGGCGGCGACGGGUAGCCGGCCUGAGAGGGUGUACGGCCACAUUGGGACUGAGAUACGGCCCAGGCUCCUACGGGAGGCAGCAGUGGGGAAUAUUGCACAAUGGGCGCAAGCCUGAUGCAGCGACGCCGCGUGGGGGAUGAAGGCCUUCGGGUUGUGAACUCCUUUCGCUAGGGACGAAGCUUUUUUGUGACGGUACCUAGAUAAGAAGCACCGGCUAACUACGUGCCAGCAGCCGCGGUAAUACGUAGGGUGCGAGCGUUGUCCGGAAUUACUGGGCGUAAAGGGCUCGUAGGUGGUUUGUCGCGUCGUCUGUGAAAUUCUGGGGCUUAACUCCGGGCGUGCAGGCGAUACGGGCAUAACUUGAGUGCUGUAGGGGUAACUGGAAUUCCUGGUGUAGCGGUGAAAUGCGCAGAUAUCAGGAGGAACACCGAUGGCGAAGGCAGGUUACUGGGCAGUUACUGACGCUGAGGAGCGAAAGCAUGGGUAGCGAACAGGAUUAGAUACCCUGGU